rnacentral:rRNA from 1 species
GGUGUGGGAUCAAGUGGUGUGCGCUGCUCUUCGCCUCUCUCGCACUCUCUCGCGUGCGCGCGGUGUCUCGGCGUUCGUGUGUGUGUGUGCUCUUAGCUCACCUGGCCCUCGCGGGUUCUGUGUGUGGCGGGGUGCGCGCGCGCGCGUGCGUAUUCACGGGCCCGCCGCCGCGUGGUCACGGGUGCUUGGGGGUGGGCUCGCUCGCUACUCCCGCGACAUGCUCCCGUCCGUAACAAGCCUCCGCGCCUGCGUACAUAGUGGUGCUUGACUGGGGUGACGGACAAGGCGUCGGCGUAUGCUUGCCGGGCUGGCUUUUGAUGGGCGGCGCGUGUGUGUGUUCGCACGCACACUCUCUCACUCUCUCCAGCUGCCCGUGUCUUCGCUCGCCGCUCGCUCCCGUCUUCUCCUAGAGUAUCAGUGUCACCGUGAGUAAAUCGGAGUGCUCAAAGCAGUCGUAACGGGCCUCGUGCCCUGUGAACAGUCUUGACGGACUGACUUGGUUUUGCAUGGUAUGUCGGAAGACGACGUCGAGCGCUGGCUAAGAGGUAUUUUUAAUGAAUCAGUGGUAUAAGCCAGCCUCGACGUACUGAUUAAAAGGGCUUGUCGAGGGCAUUGGUAUUGCGGAGCGAGAGGUGAAAUUCUAUGACCUCCGCAAGACCGCCCGAAGCGAAAGCGUCUGCCAAGGAUGUUUUCAUUAAUCAUGAACGAAAGUUAGAGGAUCGAAGGCGAUCAGAUACCGCCCUAGUUCUAACCCUAAACGAUGCCAACCAUCAAUCCGCGCGUAGCACCCUUUAUGACGGGCUCGGCGGGCAGCUCCUUU